UACGUAGGGGGCAAGCGUUGUCCGGAAUCAUUGGGCGUAAAGGGCGCGUAGGCGGCCGGCUCAGUCGGGUGUGAAAUUUCGGAGCUUAACUCCGAAACUGCAUUCGAUACUGCGGUGCUUGAGGACUGGAGAGGAGACUGGAAUUCAUGGUGUAGCAGUGAAAUGCGUAGAGAUCAUGAGGAAGACCAGUGGCGAAGGCGGGUCUCUGGACAGUUCCUGACACUGAGGCACGAAGGCCAGGGGAGCAAACGGG
rnacentral:rRNA from 1 species